AAUCUUAGACAAUGGCGCAAGCCUGAUCUAGCCAUGCCGCGUGAGUGAUGAAGGCCUUAGGGUCGUAAAGCUCUUUCGCCAGGGAUGAUAAUGACAGUACCUGGUAAAGAAACCCCGGCUAACUCCGUGCCAGCAGCCGCGGUAAUACGGAGGGGUUAGCGUUGUUCGGAAUUACUGGGCGUAAAGCGCGCGUAGGCGGAUUAGUCAGUUAGAGGUGAAAUCCCCAGGCUCAACCCCUGGAACUGCCUUUAAUACUGCUAGUCUUGAGUUCGAGAGAGGUGAGUGGAAUUCCGAGUGUAGAGGUGAAAUUCGUAGAUAUUCGGAGGAACACCAGUGGCGAAGGCGGCUCACUGGCUCGAUACUGACGCUGAGGUGCGAAAGUGUGGGGAGCAAACAGGAUUAGAUACCCUGGUAG
rnacentral:rRNA from 1 species